UACGUAGGGUGCAAGCGUUAAUCGGAAUUACUGGGCGUAAAGCGUGCGCAGGCGGUUGUGCAAGACAGAUGUGAAAUCCCCGGGCUCAACCUGGGAACUGCAUUCGAGACUGCAUUGCUAGAGUAUGGGGAGAGGGAAGUGGAAUUUCAGGUGUAGCGGUUGAAAAUGCGUAGAUAUCUGAAGGAACAUCAGUGGCGAAAAGCGACUUCCUGGACCAAUACUGACGCUCAUGUGCGAAAACGUGGGGGAGCAAACAGG
rnacentral:rRNA from 1 species